rnacentral:rRNA from 1 species
UUAAAGGUACCCGUACCGCAAACCGACACAGGUGGGUGAGGAGAGUAUCCUAAGGCCCGCGAGAGAACUGUUGUUAAGGAACUCGGCAAAAGGACCCCGUAACUUAGGGAUAAGGGGUGCCACCAUCCGGUGGCCGCAGAGAAUAGGCCCAAGCGACUGUUUACCAAAAACAUAGGUUUCUGCUAAGUCGCAAGACGAUGUAUAGGAGCUGACGCCUGC